GACAGAGGAUGCAAGCGUUAUCCGGAAUGAUUGGGCGUAAAGCGUCUGUAGGUGGCUUUUUAAGUCCGCCGUCAAAUCCCAGGGCUCAACCCUGGACAGGCGGUGGAAACUACCAAGCUGGAGUACGGUAGGGGCAGAGGGAAUUUCCGGUGGAGCGGUGAAAUGCGUAGAGAUCGGAAAGAACACCAACGGCGAAAAGCACUCUGCUGGGCCAUGACUGACACUGAGAGACGAAAGCUAGGGGAGCAAAUGGG
rnacentral:rRNA from 1 species